rnacentral:rRNA from 1 species
AGAAUCAACGCUGGCGGCGUGCCUAACACAUGCAAGUCGAACGAGAAAGCUUGGCUGUAGCAAUACAGCCGGGUGAGUAAAGUGGCGUACGGGUGAGUAACACGUAGCUAACCUACCCUCGAGUGGGGAAUAACCUGGGGAAACUCGGGCUAAUACCCCAUAACAUCCGGGUUGCACAAGCAGACCGGAGCAAAGGCUCGCAAGGGCCGCUUGGGGAGGGGCUGCGGCCGAUUAGCUAGUUGGUGAGGUAAUGGCUCACCAAGGCUUUGAUC